UGUACCCGCUGAACUUAAGCAUAUCAAUAAGCGGAGGAAAAGAAACCAACAGGGAUUGCCCCAGUAACGGCGAGUGAAGCGGCAACAGCUCAAAUUUGAAAUCUGGCCCCUCCGGGUCCGAGUUGUAAUUUGUAGAGGAUGCUUUUGGUGAGGUGCCGCCCGAGUUCCCUGGAACGGGACGCCACAGAGGGUGAGAGCCCCGUCUGGCUGGCCACCGAGCCUCUGUAAAGCUCCUUCGACGAGUCGAGUAGUUUGGGAAUGCUGCUCAAAAUGGGAGGUAUAUGUCUUCUAAAGCUAAAUAUUGGCCAGAGACCGAUAGCGCACAAGUAGAGUGAUCGAAAGAUGAAAAGCACCUUGAAAAGAGGGUUAAACAGUACGUGAAAUUGUUGAAAGGGAAGCGCUUGUGACCAGACUUGGGCGCGGCGGAUCAUCCGGGGUUCUCUCCGGUGCACUUCGCCGCGUUCAGGCCAGCAUCAGUUCGUCGCGGGGGAAAAAGGCUUCGGGAACGUGGCUCCUCCGGGAGUGUUAUAGCCCGUUGCAUAAUACCCUGCGGUGGACUGAGGACCGCGCAUCUGCAAGGAUGCUGGCGUAAUGGUCACCAGCGACCCGUCUUGAAACACGGACCAAGGAGUCGUCUUCGUAUGCGAGUGUUCGGGUGUCAAACCCCUACGCGUAAUGAAAGUGAACGCAGGUGAGAGCUUCGGCGCAUCAUCGACCGAUCCUGAUGUUCUCGGAUGGAUUUGAGUAAGAGCAUACGGGGCCGGACCCGAAAGAAGGUGAACUAUGCCUGUAUAGGGUGAAGCCAGAGGAAACUCUGGUGGAGGCUCGCAGCGGUUCUGACGUGCAAAUCGAUCGUCAAAUAUGGGCAUGGGGGCGAAAGACUAAUCGAACCUUCUAGUAGCUGGUUUCCGCCGAAGUUUCCCUCAGGAUA
rnacentral:rRNA from 1 species